rnacentral:rRNA from 1 species
AUUCGACCUCAAAUCAGGUAGGACUACCCGCUGAACUUAAGCAUAUCAAUAGACGGAGGAA